rnacentral:rRNA from 1 species
AACGAACGCUGGCGGCAUGCCUAACACAUGCAAGUCGAACGAGACCUUCGGGUCUAGUGGCGCACGGGUGCGUAAGGCGUGGGAACCUGCCCUUAGGUUCGGAAUAACUCCCCGAAAGGGGUGCUAAUACCGGUUAAGGUCUUCGGACCUAAGAUUUAUCGCCGUUGGAUGGGCGCGCGUUGGAUUAGCUAGUUGGUAGGGUAAAAGCCUAUCAAGGCGACGAUGCAUAGCUGGUCUGAGAGGAGGAUCAACACCACUGGGACUGAGACACGGCCCAGACUGGUACGCGAGGGAGCAGUGGGGAAUAUUGGACGCUGAGCGAAAGCCUGAUACAGCAACGCCGGGUGAGUGAUGCAGGCCUUAGGAUUGUAAAGCUCUUUUACCCGGGGUGUUAAUGACAGUACCGGGUGAAUAAGCUCCGGCUAACUACGUG